rnacentral:rRNA from 1 species
UACGUAGGCAGCAAGCGUUGUUCGGAAUUACUGGGCGUAAAGAGUGUGUAGGCGGUGCUCUAAGUCUGUUGUGAAAUCUCCCGGCUUAACCGGGAGGGUGCGGCGGAAACUGGAGUGCUUGAGGGUGGGAGAGGUAAGCGGAAUUCCUGGUGUAGCGGUGAAAUGCGCAGAUAUCAGGAGGAACACCGAUGGCGAAGGCAGGUCUCUGGGCCACGACUGACGCUGAGAAGCGAAAGCAUGGGGAGCGAACAGG